GACCCCUGGGUGCCCCGGAAGACCCCUCGGCCCGGACGGAAGUGCGCGGUGAGCGGGCAGCAUGUGCUGCGGGCAGCAGGUGCUGUGGGCAGG